rnacentral:rRNA from 1 species
UACGUAGGGUGCAAGCGUUAAUCGGAAUUACUGGCGUAAAGCGUGCGCAGGCGGUUUUGUAAGUUUGUCGUGAAAGCCCCGGGCUCAACCUGGGAAUUGCGAUGAAGACUGCAAGGCUUGAAUCUGGCAGAGGGGGGUAGAAUUCCACGUGUAGCAGUGAAAUGCGUAGGGAUGUGGAGGAACACCGAUGGCGAAGGCAGCCCCCUGGGUCAAGAUUGACGCUCAUGCGCGAAAGCG